AUUUUAAUAGCAUUUUACAAUAUUUUAAUCAUGAUACCUAUUCUAAAAUCUAAAGGUAUAUGUUCUCAUCAUUAACAACAAUAAAACUAAAUACAUUUAGCUGCUUUAUCACACUGAAACAAUUCCUACUGGUUGUUUUACUUUAUUGCUUUGAUCAUGAUUGGUUAAUCUGGCUGUCAUCCAGGAAACUGGACAGUGAAUCGGUUCGCGCCUUUCUACAUUUGAAAAUAUGACCGUUAUUAUCGUUCUUUCUGUGAGUGAGGCGGCUGACUGUGAGCUGCUGCUGUAACUGCUCGGUCGGUCCCGAAUUAUUUUAUAUUUGCCUGUUAAUUAUUUUUUUUUUGAGCGAAUUUGAGUCGUGACAUGUCAAUGGAGAACAAAAACUGUAAUGUGAACACAAGAAGUGUCAGAUGUGUUCUGCGAGGUCCUGCAAACAUACUGGCAAACUGAGAGAUUUUUCCACAUUUUCCUGAUAUGAAUCCCAUGGAUUAGAGUCAUCAAGGAUCCAGCUUUUUAUUGAAACAUUGGACAGUACAGAAAGCACACAAGUGGGAGAGAGUGGAGGGGACGGCAUCAGAAAGGACCUAGGGCUGGGACUCUUUCAAGGAUCACCUGAAGCACAACCACACUAUAUGCACGAGGCUGUUGGUUCUAACAUUUUAGGUUCACCUUCGGUGGAAAUCACAUUCCGCGUUCCCUGCGGUAAAAAAAGACACAGUCCGGGGGUUCCCGUUAGAAAUGCCCCCCGGGGUGCCCCCUCUAACGCUGGUUCCUUGGAAUUAUCCUAACCUUCCCUGCCCUUACAGCGUCCCUGGUUGCCGGUUCCAUUCUCGAACUGUUCAACACAUUUUCACUGCACAAAUGUACACAUCUCUUGUAAUGAGACACAUUACUAAAACAUGUUUUUUACAGAAACUGUAGUUUUCCACCAAAAUAAAAGAUCAGCUGGUUUCAGUCAUAAAGGUACAAGGGUUUCUCUUGCAAGUGCCACACAAAAUAUGCAUUUAUAUGCAAAAAUAUGGCAAAUUAUUUUACAAAAACCUUUAAAUAUUAUUGUAUUUGAAUUGUUCUUCUACGUGUUUUUAACAAUACAUCCAUACAUACUCUGCAAAAUAAAGUUUGGGAUUAUUUUCAUCUGUUUUAUACAGUACGUUUCCAAAAUAAAACUGCUGUUUUACAAUUCUGAGCAUGUGGUAGUUUAUUGAAGUUGAUUGUAAAGCCAUUGCUGCCAGUCAUUUGAUUUUUAGCCUUUAUAAUGUACAGUGUUGAUCUAAAUGCAAACUAGGCUCUAAUUGAACAUACAGUUGUGUAUCUAUACAUGGUGCAAGGUACGACGGUGAAACAACGUCGUGUUAUCAACGUUGAUUCACUUUUCAAAAUCAACACCUAAUUCAACGUUAAGCCAACGUCUACAGAACGACCAUAAUUCACCCAUGAUGAAGGUAAGACGGUUGAAACGGCGUCGCGAUUUCAACAGUGAAUCAAUGUCGUAAUUUCAACGGUGAAUCAACGUCACAAUAUCAACGUUGAUCCAAUUUGCAAAAUCGAAAGGUAAUUCAACGUUGAUUCAACCCUGGUACCUGACGUUGUUUCAACGUUGAAAUGCC
ensembl:lncRNA